GGAGUUGGUAUCUCAGUGGUUGAGUGCAUGCUUUGUAUGUAUGACAUCCUGGGUUCAAACCCCAGCGUCCCA
rnacentral:tRNA from 1 species